UACGUAGGGGGCAAGCGUUGUCCGGAAUUAUUGGGCGUAAAGAGCUCGUAGGCGGUUUGUCGCGUCUGCUGUGAAAACCCGAGGCUCAACCCCGGGCCUGCAGUGGAUACGGGCAGACUAGAGUGCGGUAGGGGAGAUUGGAAUUCCUGGUGUAGCGGUGGAAUGCGCAGAUAUCAGGAGGAACACCAAUGGCGAAGGCAGAUCUCUGGGCCGUAACUGACGCUGAGGAGCGAAAGCAUGGGGAGCGAACAGG
rnacentral:rRNA from 1 species